rnacentral:rRNA from 1 species
GACAGAGGGUGCGAACGUUGUUCGGAAUUACUGGGCGUAAAGCGCACGUAGGCGGCUUUGCAAGUCCCAUGUGAAAUCCCACGGCUCAACCGUGGAAGUGCAUGGGAAACUGCAGAGCUUGAGUACUUAAGAGGAUCGCGGAAUUCCCGGUGUAGAGGUGAAAUUCGUAGAUAUCGGGAGGAACACCAGUGGCGAAGGCGGCGAUCUGGGAAGAUACUGACGCUGAGGUGCGAAAGCGUGGGGAGCAAACAGG